GACUGGAUGAGAGUCACAUGUAAAGGAAAGCCUACGAAAAUGAAUUGAUUUAACUCGAAGCGGGCCAAUUAGUGAAUUUCCAGUAAAUGAAACCGAAUAAUAUCGCGUGUUUUAAUGAAUAAAAAAAAUUGCUAAUAUAAUUUUAUUAAUCUAAUGUACAUUUUCAAAACUUCAAACCAAUUCCAAUGACAUCGAGAGACCCGGAAAACUCACCGUUGAACACUUUGGAAAAUAAUAAAAACUUGAAAAUAUUAAUCCAGCCCACAAACUUUGAUAAGAACAGAUUUUUUAAAGGAAAAAACCUAUAAAAAAAAAAAAAAAUAUCGAUUCAUCCAAAGUACUUGCCUAGCUUAUAACCGUGAGGAGCGAUACACUGUGGGAAUACGGUGGAACGAUGAGUCUCUCCGGUUACUUCGGGCGUAAUUCUUUUUUCAUAUGAUUUUCAUUCGAAAACGUUUUUUUUCGAAACGCCGCAAAUUCAUUCUCUCGAACUCGAAUGAUAACGAUUAAGUAAAAUAAAAAAUAAGUAUAACGCUCUAGAGCCGAAGAGGUAAAGAGAAGCUGCCUCUGCAAGAGAGCGGAGAUAGUGAACCGCUGCAUACCUUGCUGCAUACCACUUGCUUAUUUGCGAUCCUUAUCUAUGGACGCUUUUUUGUGAUCAAGUCCAUCAUUGAAUACCACCACCACCACCACGAACAACGAUCAUGAAGAAAGGGAGACUAGAUGGAAAGACAUACACAGCCUACACAAAUGUGGGAGAUUUUAGAGUUAAAUCUCAACGUGAACUCAUAGCUUUCUCGCAGUGACGCCAGUUAAGAAGAAGGAGAAUAAGCAAGAUGGAAAUUCGUCUCCGACUUUAAACAAAUGCGUAUAUAUACCGUUACCGUAUAUAAUAGUUAUGACUAACAAUAGUUGAUAGAUUUGAAUUACGAUCAAUCUAUUAUUACUUCCAACUAUAUAGCGCUGACCUUUUUUGUAGAAAUUUAUAAAGUAAAAAAAAAGUUGUGCUCUGAACCUCGGGCAACCACUUUGAGCCUCGUUCCGCAUAAAUCUUUUAUGCAACAUCUAUGCGGGGAAGGUCAACGCAGUUGGUGAAGCUGCAAAGGAGUCGGAGCGUGUCGGAGCGUUAUAACGCAACAACUGGUUCUCAUUCGCGAGAUGUUUGGUUAGAUGAUGAAAAAAAACGUGGUAUUCAGCAAUGAGGAUAUUUCAUAACUCAUCAAUUUAUUAAUAAUUCCUAUAAAAAAUAGAAUCGUGGGUGGUUGGGGGGUGAGGGGAAGGAGGAACAUAUUUGAUAUUUUUGUUAUAUCGCGACGCCCUGCGUUAUGUUUAACAAUAAAUUCAUUUCUCAUGAUAA